AUAACAGUCAUUUGUCACGUGGUGGCUUGGUGGUCGUAUGUAUGACGUCAUUUACUUGGACUUUUAGGAGUGACAUCAUAUGUACGGCUGCUAAACUGCUGCAUGGGACAUCAUUUAAACAU
rnacentral:pre_miRNA from 7 species